rnacentral:tRNA from 1 species
UCUGAAAUAGCUUAGUUGGUAGAGCGUCAGGCUAUAAAUAGAAAGGUCUUUGGUUCAAUCCCGGGUUUCGGCA